CAAGCGGAUUAUUCCGCUCGUUUGACUCUAGCAGCCAACAGAGCAUGUGGCUGUCAGCAACUAGAGUCAAACAAGCAGAAAGAUCUGCCUGU
rnacentral:pre_miRNA from 1 species